GGCCUACCAUGGUUUUAACGGGUAACGGGGAAUUAGGGUUCGAUUCCGGAGAGGGAGCCUGAGAAACGGCUACCACAUCCAAGGAAGGCAGCAGGCGCGCAAAUUACCCAAUCCCGACACGGGGAGGUAGUGACAAUAAAUAACAAUACGGGGCUCAUUUGGGUCUCGUAAUUGGAAUGAGUACAAUUUAAAUCUCUUAACGAGGAACAAUUGGAGGGCAAGUCUGGUGCCAGCAGCCGCGGUAAUUCCAGCUCCAAUAGCGUAUAUUAAAGUUGUUGCAGUUAAAAAGCUCGUAGUUGAACUUCGGGGUUCACCCAUUGGUCAGGCUUAAUUGUCUGUACUGGUGAGAUGAGUCUCUACCUUCUGAGGAACUUUCACGCCAUUUAUUUGGUGUGAGGGGAGAUCAGGACUGUUACUUUGAAAAAAUUAGAGUGUUUAAAGCAGGCUAACGUCUGAAUACAUUAGCAUGGAAUAAUGAAAUAGGACGGAUUGAUUCUAUUUCGUUGGUUUCUAGGAUCACCGUAAUGAUUAAUAGGGAUAGUUGGGGGCAUUAGUAUUCAAUUGUCAGAGGUGAAAUUCUUGGAUUUAUUGAAGACUAACUACUGCGAAAGCAUUUGCCAAGGAUGUUUUCAUUAAUCAAGAACGAAAGUUAGGGGAUCGAAGACGAUCAGAUACCGUCGUAGUCUUAACCAUAAACUAUGCCGACUAGGGAUCGGACGCAGUUAAUUUUAUAAUGACGUGUUCGGCACCUUACG
rnacentral:rRNA from 1 species